CGAGGAAGCCCCGGGCUAACUACGUGCCAGCAGCCGCGGUAAUACGUAGGGGGCAAGCGUUGUUUCGGAAUCACUGGGGCGUAAAGGGAGCGUAGGCGGGGCGGUAAGUCAGAAGUCAAAUCCACAGGCUCAACCUGUGGCCGGCUUUUGAUACUGUCGCUCUUGAGUAUGGGAGAGGGUGAUGGAAUUCCAGGUGUANCGGUGGAAUGCGUAGAUAUCUGGAAGAACACCGGUUGCGAAGGCGGUCACCUGGCCCAAUACUGACGCUGAGGCUCGAAAGCUAGGGGAGCAAACAGGAUUAGAUACCCUGGUAGUCCUAGCCGUAAACGAUGGACACUAGUUGCUGGGAGAGUCAAUCCUUUCAGUGACGAAGCUAACGCAUUAAGUGUCCCGCCUGGGGGGUACGCUCGCAAGGGUGAAACUCAAAGGAAUUGACGGGGGCCCGCACAAGCGGUGGAGCAUGUGCUUUAAUUCGAUGCAACGCGAAGAACCUUACCUGGGUUUGACAUGGGAGUGAAACUCUCCAGAGAUGGGGAGCCUUCCUUCGGGAACACUCUACACAGGUGCUGCAUGGUUGUCGUCAGCUCGUGUCGUGAGAUGUUGGGUUAAGUCCCGCAACGAGCGCAACCCCUGCCCUUAGUUGCCAGCGGGUAAUGCCGGGAACUCUAAGGGGACUGCCUGGAUUAACCAGGAGGAAGGUGGGGAUGACGUCAAAUCCUCAUGGCCCUUACGCCCAGGGCUAGACACGUGCUACAAUGGCCGGCACAAUGGGAUGCCAAACCGUGAGGUGGAGCUAAUCCCCUAAAACCGGUCUCAGUUCGGAUUGGAGUCUGCAAUUCGACUCCAUGAAGUUGGAAUCGCUAGUAAUCGCGGAUCAGCAUGCCGCGGUGAUACGUUCCCGGGCCUUGUACACACCGCCCGUCAAGCCAUGAAAGACGGUAGUGCCCUAAGUCGUUUCCCGAACCCGCAAGGGACGGUGACGCCUAAGGUAAGACCGUUGAUUGGGGCUAAGUCGUAA
rnacentral:rRNA from 1 species